AUGCAGUCGAACGAUGAUGCCCAGCUUGCUGGGCGGAUUAGUGGCGAACGGGUGAGUAAUACGUGAGUAACCUGCCCUUGACUCUGGGAUAAGCCUGGGAAACUGGGUCUAAUACUGGAUACUACCUCUUACCGCAUGGUGGGUGGUGGAAAGGGUUUUACUGGUUUUGGAUGGGCUCACGGCCUAUCAGCUUGUUGGUGGGGUAAUGGCUCACCAAGGCGACGACGGGUAGCCGGCCUGAGAGGGUGACCGGCCACACUGGGACUGAGACACGGCCCAGACUCCUACGGGAGGCAGCAGUGGGGAAUAUUGCACAAUGGGCGGAAGCCUGAUGCAGCGACGCCGCGUGAGGGAUGACGGCCUUCGGGUUGUAAACCUCUUUCAGUAGGGAAGAAGCGAGAGUGACGGUACCUGCAGAAGAAGCGCCGGCUAACUACGUGCCAGCAGCCGCGGUAAUACGUAGGGCGCAAGCGUUGUCCGGAAUUAUUGGGCGUAAAGAGCUCGUAGGCGGUUUGUCGCGUCUGCUGUGAAAGCCCGGGGCUCAACCCCGGGUCUGCAGUGGGUACGGGCAGACUAGAGUGCAGUAGGGGAGACUGGAAUUCCUGGUGUAGCGGUGAAAUGCGCAGAUAUCAGGAGGAACACCGAUGGCGAAGGCAGGUCUCUGGGCUGUUACUGACGCUGAGGAGCGAAAGCAUGGGGAGCGAACAGGAUUAGAUACCCUGGUAGUCCAUGCCGUAAACGUUGGGCACUAGGUGUGGGGGACAUUCCACGUUUUCCGCGCCGUAGCUAACGCAUUAAGUGCCCCGCCUGGGGAGUACGGCCGCAAGGCUAAAACUCAAAGGAAUUGACGGGGGCCCGCACAAGCGGCGGAGCAUGCGGAUUAAUUCGAUGCAACGCGAAGAACCUUACCAAGGCUUGACAUUCACCGGACCGCCCCAGAGAUGGGGUUUCCCUUCGGGGCUGGUGGACAGGUGGUGCAUGGUUGUCGUCAGCUCGUGUCGUGAGAUGUUGGGUUAAGUCCCGCAACGAGCGCAACCCUCGUUCUAUGUUGCCAGCACGUGAUGGUGGGGACUCAUAGGAGACUGCCGGGGUCAACUCGGAGGAAGGUGGGGAUGACGUCAAAUCAUCAUGCCCCUUAUGUCUUGGGCUUCACGCAUGCUACAAUGGCCGGUACAAAGGGUUGCGAUACUGUGAGGUGGAGCUAAUCCCAAAAAGCCGGUCUCAGUUCGGAUUGAGGUCUGCAACUCGACCUCAUGAAGUCGGAGUCGCUAGUAAUCGCAGAUCAGCAACGCUGCGGUGAAUACGUUCCCGGGCCUUGUACACACCGCCCGUCAAGUCACGAAAGUUGGUAACACCCGAAGCCGGUGGCCUAACCCCUUGUGGGAGGGAGCC
rnacentral:rRNA from 1 species